ACUCCAACCCCUGUGACAUACCAAUUGUUGCCUCGGCGGAUCAGCCCGCUCCCGGUAAAACGGGACGGCCCGCCAGAGGACCCCUAAACUCUGUUUCUAUAUGUAACUUCUGAGUAAAACCAUAAAUAAAUCAAAACUUUCAACAACGGAUCUCUUGGUUCUGGCAUCGAUGAAGAACGCAGCAAAAUGCGAUAAGUAAUGUGAAUUGCAGAAUUCAGUGAAUCAUCGAAUCUUUGAACGCACAUUGCGCCCGCCAGUAUUCUGGCGGGCAUGCCUGUUCGAGCGUCAUUUCAACCCUCAAGCCCAGCUUGGUGUUGGGACUCGCGAGUCAAAUCGCGUUCCCCAAAUUGAUUGGCGGUCACGUCGAGCUUCCAUAGCGUAGUAGUAAAACCCUCGUUACUGGUAAUCGUCGCGGCCACGCCGUUAAACCCCAACUUCUGAAUGUUGACCUCGGAUCAGGUAGGAAUACCCGCUGAACUUAAGCAUAUCAAUAAGCGGAGGA
rnacentral:rRNA from 1 species